CCAAUUACUUCUUCUGGCCUUGAGUAGAAAACAAAGUGAAGGAUGCACUAAAGAGGGUAAAAAAGUUAAAAAGAAUUGCUGCAGAAGAAACGGCAAACAUUUGGAAACAAUCAACAAAGCUGAUAAAGUGAAGCAAUUGCUUCUGAAAGAGGUCCUGGAUACUCAUAAAGCAGUUGUAUCAGGCAAGGUGUCAUCUGAGAAAUAAGAUGCUUUUCUUAAAUGGAAAAUGGUGCAGCACAAAUUAGAGUUUGCCACUGAUAAAUUUUCUAAGCCAAUAAGAUAAGUGAGGGAAAUUCUAGUAAUGUAUACAAGUGCAAUCUUGAUCAGACCUCUGUAGAUGUCAAGGUUCUCUGACGAGAUGCAUGGAACAAGAAAGAGGAAGUUCACUAGAGAGGUUCAAAAUUCUUAGCCAACUUUGUCAUUGUAACAUGAUUAUUGUUGAGGCUGCCUGGAUUAUUGUCAUAUUGUAUACCGUUACAUGACGCCAAGAAGACCAAAUAUUCAUUUGGAAUGACAAAGACUCGACUUCUAUGAAUUAUCUGAUACCAAAUUCUUUUUGAACAUAGCCCAGGGACUUGCUUUUCUACGUGACAACAAGCCUGAACAUCUCCUGUCCUGUUGUGCCUGAUGGUUGCAUCGUGUGCAAAAGAAACUAUUCUUCCUGGUACAUCUUAUGACAUGGAUCCUGGAUAGCAAGGAACUGGCAGUGUUUGUCCCAGCAAGCUCACUGACAGGGCUUACCCAAUGGCCCGAUGACGUUGAAAAGGCACUGAAAUGAGGAACAUUAUCUGAUGUGCUUGACCAAUAAAUAGCAGCUUGGUCUCUUGAUGUGGCAGAGUUUAGCCAAGUUUUCUUUACAGAGUUCAAGCCCGAGAUGGUUGCAUCCUGAUUCAGAGAAAUUUCCAGAUUUGAGGAUAUAUAAAAAUCGGGGGAAUGGUUAUUUUAAAUCGAGGCAACACAAUAUAGAUGCACAAAAAAGAUUGUAUCUAUCUGAUACAGGCAGAGAAGGUCGGUCGACGUGGUCGGGUCGGACCGACUCGGUCAACUGCGAUUCACCCGCCCGAACUUGCCACCUGAAUUCGGUCCGAAGUCCAAUGUGUGUAAUGCGUAGAGAAGACUCGACUCCGCCUUAUUACCAGCAGCCACUUCUCUGUCUCUCUCUCUCUCUCUCUCGCUCACGGACACACUACGGCUCUCCCUCUCUCUUUGGUUAUUGGUUAAUCACAGUGAUGCCACAGUACCACCACUCCAGUCCCUAUUUCGACGACGAUGACGACGAAGAGCUCAUCAAGAAGAGGAGGAAGCCGCCGCCCAGGCCCUCCCCCUUCCUAACCCCGUCCUCGCCGCACCCACCCCGCCGCGCCCUCCUCAUCCUGGUCAUCCUCUCCGCCGUCUGUCUCAUCGUCGGCAUCGCUGGGAUCGCGUUCGCCGCCGCCGCCAUCCGCCGACCCCCGCGCAUCGUCACCGUCUUCCGCUGCGGCCGCGCCGAGGACACCCUCCGCACCUUCCGAUCCAAGUCCCUCGCCGCCACCGGCCGGCCCGAGGAGGGCGUGGCGGCGAGGCCCAAGGUGAUUGGGGUCGUCGGGGUCCUCACAGGGUUCUCUUCCUCCGAUCGUCGGGCUGCGCUUCGGGAUACCUGGUUCCCUCGUGAUCCUGACGCCUUGUCUCGUUUGGAUCAUGCUACUGGACUGGCUUUUAGAUUUGUGAUUGGGCAGACAAAGGAUCCAAAGAAAAAGGCAGUGCUGCAGAAAGAAGUAGAGACGCACAAUGACUUCAUGUUUGUAGAUGCUGAUGAAGAUAACUAUAAGUUGCCCUAUAAGACGGUAGCAUUUUUCAAAGCAGCUUUCAACCUUUUUGAUGCAGACUUUUAUGUGAAAGCUGAUGAUGAUAUUUAUUUGCGGCCAGAUCGACUUGCCACUCUUCUUGCUAAGGAUCGAGCACAUCGUCUUACUUACAUUGGUUGCAUGAAGAAAGGCCCAGUUAUCACUGACCGAAAUAUGAAAUGGUUUGAAAGUUCAGGCCAUUUGAUUGGGAAUGAGUACUUUCUACAUGCACAUGGUCCGAUAUAUGCUCUUUCUGCUGAUAUUGUAGCUGCUUUGGCAAGUGCAAGAAAUGAUAGUUUGAGAAUGUUUAACAAUGAGGACGUCACCAUCGGUUCAUGGAUGCUUGCCAUGAAUGUGAACCAUGAAGAUACCAAAGCUUUGUGUGAACCUAUAUGCACAUCAACAUCUAUUGCUGUCUGGAGCAACCCAAGAUGCUUAGAUCCAUGUGACCUUAAAGAGAAACUGAUGGAGCUUCAAAACGUCAGUAUGUGCUCAAACAGCUCGACAUUGCCUCCUGAAGAUGACGAAGAUGACUAGUCCUAGUUUGUUCUCCCAAAGAAUUUUUGCUUGACAUAUUCAAGAAGGGCUCACUCACUGGCGGCAAAUCUGUAUGAUAGAAGCACCCAUCAUUUCUUGUUAUCUCUCUGCAUCAUAUAGUUGAGAGGAUCUCGAUAGUUGAGAGGAUCUCGAGUGCUUUCAUAACUAUCCAUACGGACACGUACAACCUUGAUGUACAAAUGGCCAACAAUUUUCAGAUGCCCCCUUUUUCUCAUAAUGGUGCAGACAAAUUUCAGAUGCCCACUUUGAUCAAAAUCAUGUCUCGGAGGUAACUUGCGAUGUCACCUACAGCUUCAUGUCAAUUUCAUUGUACUUCCACAUAAUGAUUUGAAUUCUAAGAUUCUAAAGUAAAUGUUGACUAGCAACUGCGUAUGUGUUGAUAGAGUAAGUCUCAUCUUUACCUGUCGUUGGUUCACAACAGCCUGUGUUGGCCAACCUGGAGAAGAAACAAAAGAAUCAUCACAAGAAUCUCUUACACUCGAUCAGGCUGCAUUACUUUGUGCUAAAAUACUCUUUAACUAGGAGUUCAGUUUCAAAUACAUGCGACUAAAUCAUGCUGAACUUGUCCGAAUGUUCCGGUGAACAACAAAUUUGGAGGAUAUAUAUAUCAAACCUAAAAUCAAACAUAAACACCGGUAGCAAGGAGCAGGAAUAGAGAUCCAAAACCC